UGGAUUGGCAAAGAAAAUGCUAGUGACGUUGCUAGAAGAAACUAUUCCCGUUGGAACAAAUUCCCAGCAGCAGCCGUCAGUCUCCGGAGGAAACCAUAACCAAACGAAAUGCGCAAAUUCUGGCUGGGAUGUUUCGUAAACCAAACGGAAUCAGUGUCUUCAAUUUUAAUACUUCGUAAAACAAGUGCCACAAUCAAAAUGAAUCCGAACACUUCCAGCAUGCUGUCGAAUUCGAGCCAGUGGUAACGGCCUGACGAAAUUUUGCGGCUGAAACUGCUCAAACAGGAACAGAAAGCUCUGCAGGCACGGCUUGAGCGUCAUCAUCGGACUCCCCGCGGACAAAUGGUUCGGGACCGUGUGAGCCCGCGGUUAAGAUUCGUUUGCCAAGAGUCAGUAACGGAAGAAUUCAUUUUCCAGAAAUGACGAUCCCACUGUGAAAAGGCAAUGGAAGAUAAUGUGGUGAACAUUCUUAAACUGCUUAUUAUAAUAAUAGGAGCACUCUUAAAAAAGUGCCAGCAAUCGAAGUUGCGGCCGUUUUAUCAGUUCACCUAGAGGCUAGAGGAAUCGGUUUGUGAACAUCGUCACCAGACCAGAAGUUGCUUUUUUCUCGAGUUGAAAGUUUGUAACAGUAGUGAUAGUGCCUGCGGUUACCAAUCGACCGAAUUGAAACAACAUUUAAAAAAAAAAACAACGCUACGCUGCCUGCCGACCGACCUGGAUCCACCCUGCCCUCGGUCGAGAACGACGACAACAGCAGCAGCUCGCCGAAAAUGAAAAAUCCUUUACACCGCAACAGGCAGAACACCUCUUCCUCCAGCAUUUGUGUGGAGCAACCCGAUAAGGAACCACCGACAGACGAUGAUGCUGUUCCGACCGUAUUGAGCCACUCAUCAGUUAGGCAGCGUUUGUCCGGUCUGGGCGCACGGGAGACACGGUCACAGCACCCACGCAUAAAAGCAACACGCUCGUCGGCUCUUGUCUGGCACCAGCCUCCAACAAGCACUGCAUUACUAAAGGAUCCGCCAGCUCACACAGUGCACCUUGAGUUCCCGGCAAAGUACAGCUACAUAUUCUCCAAGUCGAACGGCACCUUUUCGAAUAGUCGGGCACGUUUUGCGGAAUGCAAACGGUGGGUGAAAACCCUCCCCUCCUUGAGCACGCUCAUGAAAAAAGCCGCGGAGAAGAUCGCGGGGCUGCUGAAAAAUUUGUUGUCACCAACUUCAACACAAGCUGGGAACCGGAGCCAUGUCGGACCAGGCAAAAAAAAAAGGAACUGAGAAUCGUUGGUGACCAGACAUAGUUCUACCGGAAGCGGUGAUGUCAUUGAUCAUGGAAUUCGAAAAGACUCAGCUGGCUCAACUCAGCACAACCAUUAGAACCAGCCUUCUACCUUUUUCCACCAAAUCCAGCAAAAUACGAAUAGAGGCGAAGAUUAUCACAAAACCGAUUUGCAGCGCGUUCUGCCCCACGUGUUGUGGAUUACUAUCAAAGACAACU